GAGGGUGUAGCUCUGUGACAGAGCAUCUGCUUUGUAUGCAAACGGUCCCAGGUUCAAUCCCCAGCAUCUCUA